UACGGAGGGUGCGAGCGUUGUCCGGAAUCACUGGGCGUAAAGGGCGCGUAGGUGGUGGCUUAAGCGUGCGGUGAAAGCUCGGGACGUCUACAUCGACGAUCGGCCGUGCGAACUGGGCUCACUGGAGCAUAGUAGAGGCAGGUGGAAUUCCGGGUGUAGCGGUGGAAUGCGUAGAGAUCCGGAAGAACACCGGUGGCGAAGGCGGGCUCUGG
rnacentral:rRNA from 1 species